rnacentral:rRNA from 1 species
CCUACGGGUGGCUGCAGUAGGGAAUAUUGGUCAAUGGACGCAAGUCUGAACCAGCCAUGCCGCGUGCAGGAUGAAGGCCCUAUGGGUUGUAAACUGCUUUUAUCAGGGAAGAAACCCUUCUACGUGUAGGAGGCUGACGGUACCUGAGGAAUAAGGAUCGGCUAACUUCGUGCCAGCAGCCGCGGUAAUACGAAGGAUCCUAGCGUUGUCCGGAUUUACUGGGUUUAAAGGGUGCGUAGGCGGAUUUUUAAGUCAGUGGUGAAAGCCGGCAGCUU